UUCCAAGAGGUGCUUAUUACAAGGGGAGGUUCUGUUGAUUGUAAUGCUCCUCCUAUCUUCAGCAAUGGCAUCGAUGGAUGUCGUCAGAAGGUCUUCCAAGCUUCAUUCAUCUUAUGAUGAAAAGGGUAGGGAACUCAUUCCUGAACCUCAAAAAGAGGAUCUUCCUCGACAAAACAAUUUUCAAUCUCCAAGUCCUCCUCCAAUACAUAGUAAGGAUGAUCCUAUAGGACACAAUUAU